UACACUCCUACGGGAGGCAGCAGUGGGGAAUUUUGGCCAAUGGGCGAAAGCCUGAUCCAGCAAUGCCGCGUGAGUGAAGAAGGCCUUCGGGUUGUAAAGCUCUUUUGUCAGGGAAGAAACGGUGAGAGCUAAUAUCUUUUGCUAAUGACGGUACCUGAAGAAUAAGCACCGGCUAACUACGUGCCAGCAGCCGCGGUAAUACGUAGGGUGCAAGCGUUAAUCGGAAUUACUGGGCGUAAAGCGUGCGCAGGCGGUUUUGUAAGUCUGAUGUGAAAUCCCCGGGCUCAACCUGGGAAUUGCAUUGGAGACUGCAAGGCUAGAAUCUGGCAGAGGGGGGUAGAAUUCCACGUGUAGCAGUGAAAUGCGUAGAUAUGUGGAGGAACACCGAUGGCGAAGGCAGCCCCCUGGGUCAAGAUUGACGCUCAUGCACGAAAGCGUGGGGAGCAAACAGGAUUAGAAACCCCGGUAGUCCCAUG
rnacentral:rRNA from 1 species